CACCUCUCAGGGUCGCACCUGGAGAGUUUCCAGUCCUCUAUCAGUCUGGACUAUGGGAGGGAGAGUCGAGCAGAGGCCGACCCGUUCCAUUGCUAGCUUGGGCAGUGGCUAGUGAGUGGAAGGGAAUCUGCUGCAAGU